GACUUCGAGGGGCAGCAGCCUGGAAUACUAGGAAAGCUUGGAGGCUGGGGGAGGCGAGACCACGUUUCAAAAUGUGGGCCCACAGCUCCCACCUCCGGCCGGCCGCGGUGGGCUUACCCCCGGCUGUUCUCUGAAUGAGGAAGCGCCGCAUGUCCUCGCAAGGCCUGGACCACCUCUGUUUACCGCUCGCUCAUUAUCGCCAUUGGACGGGAGACCCGAGGAAGAACACCCACAUGAACACGAGGCGGCGGGAACCAGGACAGGCGGCGGCUCCAUGCCCUGUCUCUGUCCUCACCCCCACGGGGGACCGGCUCUGUCUCAGGGAGCGCUCUUCACCCCGGGUUUUGGUGGGCAUCUAAGACGUCCCUCUUCCUGCCAGUCCUGUCUCCGGUUCCCGGGAUUGGCAUGAGAGCGUGAGGAGACACGCUAAGGAUCCCAGGGCUGCAGGAGAAGGCGUGCCUUGCGGACGAGUGGCUCCCGGUCAUUUUGCCGAGUGUGAUGGCUGCCAAGCUGGCAAGUGGCCUGGGUCCCUCCAUCAAUGUCCUACCCGGUGCUCCUGGCCAGACCAGCAACCACGUGCAAGAAAGCAGACUCAGCCCUGCCCCCCUGCCCAUGGGGCCCCGCGUCAGGGGCUCCCCUGGCUCAGUAGCACCCGAGGGAAGUGAAGCCUAAACAAGCCUGGUCGAUACCCUUCCGGUGACACACAGAAGCCACCAACGAGAAGGGGAGACCCUAAGCCGCGCCCUUCCUGUCCUCCGGGCCUAGGAAGAUCUCGGCCUGCAGGGACAGCAGGAGACAUGGCCAAACCACACGUGUCCGCAGGCCCGAUGGGGUCCCCAGGCCACCCCUCUGCAAACAUGGGCCCUGACCGGUGUGGCUCAGUGGAUAGAGCGUCGGCCUGCGGACUGAGGGGUCCCAGG